GAUGAACGCUGGCGGCGUGCUUAACACAUGCAAGUCGAACGAUGAAGCCCAGCUUGCUGGGUGGAUUAGUGGCGAACGGGUGAGUAACACGUGAGUAACCUGCCCUUAACUCUGGGAUAAGCCUGGGAAACUGGGUCUAAUACCGGAUAGGAGCGUCCACCGCAUGGUGGGUGUUGGAAAGAUUUAUCGGUUUUGGAUGGACUCGCGGCCUAUCAGCUUGUUGGUGAGGUAAGGGCUCACCAAGGCGACGACGGGUAGCCGGCCUGAGAGGGUGACCGGCCACACUGGGACUGAGACACGGCCCAGACUCCUACGGGAGGCAGCAGUGGGGAAUAUUGCACAAUGGGCGAAAGCCUGAUGCAGCGACGCCGCGUGAGGGAUGACGGCCUUCGGGUUGUAAACCUCUUUCAGUAGGGAAGAAGCGAAAGUGACGGUACCUGCAGAAGAAGCACCGGCUAACUACGUG
rnacentral:rRNA from 1 species